rnacentral:rRNA from 1 species
GAUGAACGCUGGCGGCGUGCCUAAUACAUGCAAGUCGAGCGAACGGACGAGAAGCUUGCUUCUCUGAUGUUAGCGGCGGACGGGUGAGUAACACGUGGAUAACCUACCUAUAAGACUGGGAUAACUUCGGGAAACCGGAGCUAAUACCGGAUAAUAUUUUGAACCGCAUGGUUCAAAAGUGAAAGACGGUCUUGCUGUCACUUAUAGAUGGAUCCGCGCUGCAUUAGCUAGUUGGUAAGGUAACGGCUUACCAAGGCAACGAUGCAUAGCCGACCUGAGAGGGUGAUCGGCCACACUGGAACUGAGACACGGUCCAGACUCCUACGGGAGGCAGCAGUAGGGAAUCUUCCGCAAUGGGCGAAAGCCUGACGGAGCAACGCUGCGUGAGUGAUGAAGGUCUUCGGAUCGUAAAACUCUGUUAUUAGGGAAGAACAUAUGUGUAAGUAACUGUGCACAUCUUGACGGUACCUAAUCAGAAAGCCACGGCUAACUACGUGCCAGCAGCCGCGGUAAUACGUAGGUGGCAAGCGUUAUCCGGAAUUAUUGGGCGUAAAGCGCGCGUAGGCGGUUUUUUAAGUCUGAUGUGAAAGCCCACGGCUCAACCGUGGAGGGUCAUUGGAAACUGGAAAACUUGAGUGCAGAGAGGAAAGUGGAAUUCCAUGUGUAGCGGUGAAAUGCGCAGAGAUAUGGAGGAACACCAGUGGCGAAGGCGACUUUCUGGUCUGUAACUGACGCUGAUGUGCGAAAGCGUGGGGAUCAAACAGGAUUAGAUACCCUGGUAGUCCACGCCGUAAACGAUGAGUGCUAAGUGUUAGGGGGUUUCCGCCCCUUAGUGCUGCAGCUAACGCAUUAAGCACUCCGCCUGGGGAGUACGACCGCAAGGUUGAAACUCAAAGGAAUUGACGGGGACCCGCACAAGCGGUGGAGCAUGUGGUUUAAUUCGAAGCAACGCGAAGAACCUUACCAAAUCUUGACAUCCUUUGACAACUCUAGAGAUAGAGCCUUCCCCUUCGGGGGACAAAGUGACAGGUGGUGCAUGGUUGUCGUCAGCUCGUGUCGUGAGAUGUUGGGUUAAGUCCCGCAACGAGCGCAACCCUUAAGCUUAGUUGCCAUCAUUAAGUUGGGCACUCUAAGUUGACUGCCGGUGACAAACCGGAGGAAGGUGGGGAUGACGUCAAAUCAUCAUGCCCCUUAUGAUUUGGGCUACACACGUGCUACAAUGGACAAUACAAAGGGCAGCGAAACCGCGAGGUCAAGCAAAUCCCAUAAAGUUGUUCUCAGUUCGGAUUGUAGUCUGCAACUCGACUACAUGAAGCUGGAAUCGCUAGUAAUCGUAGAUCAGCAUGCUACGGUGAAUACGUUCCCGGGUCU